rnacentral:misc_RNA from 1 species
AUCUAGCCCUGAUUGAACGGCAUGUUUGAGCUCAUUUUUUGUUUUUGGCGAAGCGGCUCCGCCGCUUCGCCAAAAACAAAAAAUAGCGAGUAGUGAAAGCAGGUUCCCGG